rnacentral:rRNA from 1 species
GGGUCAGUAGGUUGGUCGUGCCACCGGUACGUACUGGUCUCACUGAUUCCUCCUUCCUGAAGAACCGUAAUGCCAUUAAUUUGGUGUUGCGGGGAAACAGGACUGUCACUUUGAAAAAAUUAGAGUGUUUAAAGCAAGCUAACGCUUGAAUACAUUAGCAUGGAAUAAUGAAAUAGGACGAUCGAUCCUAUUUUGUUGGUUUCUAGGAUUGACGUA